rnacentral:misc_RNA from 1 species
UUAAGACCACAAAAUUAGUUUUCACUCUUGAAAUUUUCAGUACAUCAUUUCAACUGUUCAGGAAACAAAUUAAUACAGAAAACCACACAGAUUAAAAGCCAAAGAAAUAUCAGCUUUUCAAUCUUCACCUAGUUAAUCAGGGAAAAAAAAAGAUUACAUCUUUUUUCCUUUUAGAGAAAAAAUAUAAAAAUAUAAAUCUCAAACACUCCUGUACUAUCCGCAUCUCGUGCAUUUGUUUAGAGAGAUAUUGAGGAAGGUAAACGAAUGAAUUUACAGUGAUCAUAUCUGGUGGUAGACCUCAAAAUUUACUCCCGCUAGAUCUUCUGACAGAGACGUUAACGGAUAGCUACUGAAAUCUACUGAAUUCUGAGUGUGAAGCUGUCCUUCUUCCCAUGGACUCUGCCUCAAUUCCUCCAUCUUGAUUCCGUUCAUCGGAAACUGAAACACACAGUCUAUUUUGUUAUCGGCGUCCCACGAGAAAGCUGCAUUGUUCUCCACCAUACGGUUCAUCUGAUAUCCUGUAUAACUGCUUAUGUUUGAGCUGUUGCUGGAACUUUCUUUGGCCUCAUUCAAGAACAUAGAACUCAUUCUUGAAGCUGAAUUGUAGGAGAAAUCUGUGGCACUCAAGCUUCCAUUAUCGAAACUUGUUAAACUUGGCAUUGAAGUAAAUGAAAAGUUUGAGCUUCUUUCGAAAUGGUUUUGAUCAAAGGGUCUGAGAUUUGGGUGCUGUAGACCUGGAAUAUUACUUGAGUUAUACCCACAUGGCUCAAACCCUGCUGAGAAUUCAAAGUAGGAUAAGGGAUCAUAGACUUGCUUGUUCAUGAAUUGCUCUCUUGAAGUUUCUGUUAAUCCAUUGCCAUAGUAAGUCGUAUCGUUAAUGAGAAAUGUUGGCUCCUGUAUUGUCGUGUUUGAUACAACUGGUAGCCCUUUGGAAGGCGGUAUUUGCAAGGAUGCCUUAUCUUUACAAUUCUUCUCCUCUUUCACUUGCAGUGCUUCACUUAUUGGCUUGUGGGUUGCUGGGUCUAGACCUUGCUUCAUGAGCUUCUUCUUCAAGCAAGAAUUCCAGAAGUUCUUUAUCUCAUUAUCUGUUCUUCCUGGUAACUCUGCUGCAAUUUGAGCCCACCUGUUACCCAAAACUUCAUGAAGACUGAUUACAAGAUCCUCCUCCUGUUGUGAGAACAUUCCUCUCUUAAGGUCAGGUCUCAAGUAGUUGAUCCAUCUGAGUCUACAACUCUUUCCACACCUUUGCAGGCCAGCUAGCUUAGGAACAGAACUCCAGCAACCAACACCAAAUCUAGUUAUGUAGUUGUAAAGUUUCUCAUCUUCUUCAGGUGACCAUAAACCUUUCCUUAAUUUCUGCUUUAAGCAGCAAGAAUGUCUUCCCAUUUCUUGCGCACAACCCACUGAGAAGGAAGGUCUCCGGAUGAUUUGAACAUAUAUUUUAUAUAUAUAUAUAGAGAGAGA